GUUGUAGCCCAGUGGUAGCGGUAAUUGCCUCCCACACGAGAGGUCGCGGGUUCGAUUCCCCCGUGCACCA
rnacentral:tRNA from 1 species